GGGAAUGUGGCUUAGUGGUAGAGUGUUUGCCUAGCAUGCAUAAAGCCCUCAGUUCCAUUCCUC
rfam:Dipodomys ordii contig_71224, whole genome shotgun sequence.